CUGCCGGCCAGGGCUGCCCGCACGCGCGCCUUACUAGCAGUGGUUGCGAGAUCGGAGAAGGGGAAGGAGAAAUGAGGCCGGCGACGGAAGGAUAAGUGUAGUCACAGGCUCGGCUUCACGUGAAGGGCAAGGCGGUGUACAUGUUCGCUGAAGGCUAGCCUCAGGAUUCAGUCAGGCGUUAGGAAGGACAAUCGCGGGAUACUAACGAGAGGUCCUCAGAGCAAAGUUGAAGGCGAGCCGCUAUCAUCUGCUGUUCUCUGCCGCAGAGAGGACUGGAGGUUCUUGCUUGGCUUCACUUUAAACCAUUUAAUCGGGGGUCUGGAGAUUUCGCUCUUCACUGUUUUUCCUGGCGCAAGCUUUUCCUGUUUCGCAUUUGUCUACUCACUCUCCCGCCUAUCUACCCCCCAUUCCUAUUUAUCCAUCCAGUAAACCUACAUUGAAUGAGUGGUUAUUAUGUGUCAUGUGUAAAGUAGGGAAAACCGGGUUCCUCCUGCCCUCAAAGAGGUUCUGGUCUGGGAAAGGAAAUAAGAUAUGUAUACUCUCAAAAGACAAAAUUACAAGAAAUGUAGUUAUAGAUUUUUUUUCUUUAUUUUAUUAUUUUUUAUUAUUAUACUUUAAGUUCUAGGGUACAUGUGCACAACGUGCAGGGUUGUUACAUAUGUAUACAUGUGCCAUGUUGGUGUGCUGCACCCAUUAACUCGUCAUUUACAUUAGGUAUAUCUCCUAAUGCUAUCCCUUCCCCCUCUCCCCACCCCACAACAGGCCCCGAAGUGUGAUGUCCCCCUUCCUGUGUCCAAGUGUUCUCAUCGUUCAGUUCCCACCUAUGAGUGAGAACAUGUAAUGUUUGUUUUUUUGUCCUUGCGAUAGUUUGCUGAGAAUGUUGGUUUCCAGCUUCAUCCGUGUCCCUACAAAGGACAUGAACUCAUCAUUUUUUAUGGCUGCAUAGUAUUCCAUGGUGUAUAUAUGCCACAUUUUCUUAAUCCAGUCUGUCAUUGUUGGACAUUUGGGUUGGUUCCAGGUCUUUGCUAUUGUGAAUAGUGCUGCAAUAAACAUACAUGUAAAUGUGUCUUUAUAGCAGCAUGAUUUAUAAUCCUUUGGGUAUAUACCCAGUAAUGGGAUGGCUGGGUCAAAUGGUAUUUCUAGUUCUAGAUCCCUGAGAAAUCUCCACACUGUCUUCCACAAUGGUUGAACCAGUUAACAGUCCCACCAACAGUGUAAAAGUGUUCUUAUUUCUCCACAUCCUCUCCAGCAGCUGUUGUUUCCUGACUUUUUAAUGGUCGCCAUUCUAACUGGUGUGAGAUGGUAUCUCAUUGUGGUUUUGAUUUGCAUUUCUCUGAUGGCCAGUGAUGAUGAGCAUUUUUUCAUGUGUCUGUUGGCUGCAUAAAUGUCUUCUUUUGAGAAGUGUCUGUUCAUAUCCUUCGCCCACUUGUUGAUGGGGUUGUUUGUUUUUUUCUUGUAAAUUUGUUUGAGUUCAUUGUAGAUUCUGGAUAUUAGCUCUUUGUCAGAUGAGUAGAUUGCAAAAAUUUUCUCCCAUUCUGUAGGUUGCCUGUUCACUCUGAUGGUAGUUUCUUUUGCUGUGCAGAAGCUCUUUAGUUUAAUUAGAUCCCAUUUGUCAAUUUUGGCUUUCGUUGUCAUUGCUUUUGGUGUUUUAGACAUGAAGUCCUUGCCCAUGCCUAUGUCCUGAAUGGUAUUGCCUAGGUUUUCUUCUAGGGUUUUUAUGGUUUUAGGUCUAACAUGUAAGUCUUUAAUCCAUCUUGAAUUGAUUUUUGUAUAAGGUGUAAGGAAGGGAUCCAGUUUCAGCUUUCUACAUAUGGCUAGCUAGUUUUCCCAGCACCAUUUCAAAAACGAUGGUUAGAUCCCACGAAGUAGGUGGUAAUGCCUUAACCGUAUGCGUGUUGUCAGGCCCAAGGGCCUCUUCCAUCCUUGUCAAAGGGAGUGCUAACCUUCUCUCCUUUAAUACAACACAGUUACAGAUCUUAACUGGCUAUUUGCGAUUCUAGCACCAGGCAACACCUUAUUCUAUAAAAUAGAAUGAGUAUUCUGAUGAGCUGAGCAGAGGAGAUUAUCUUUAUAGACAGAAAAGGGCUGAAAAAAAAAAGCAGAAACAAAGAACAAGUUUCAAAGUUAUUUUACUUGUAUUGGUUAAGGCAGAAGGGACUUCCUUUAUCAUGGGGAUAUGGCUAUUUUCCCUCUCUUCUGAUUUCUCCUAAGGUCAGAUGAGCAGCUUAAUUUUGGCUUUGUGGCUUGGAACUUUAGCAUGAGUGACUCUAUUUUGGUUUGGCCUGUUGCGCCUAGUGCAGGAGCUCAGUCCAAACCAAUGGCUUUCUAUGAAUUUUAUUUAUCAAGACAAACAUUCUAGAAGGUAGAAAAUCCAAAGAGAUUGAGCUGAGCUGGGGGUCGUCUCUAGGAGGAGAUUUAGGAGAGACUUAAUGAAGGGGUGGCAUUUGAGCUGGGACUGGGUUUGGACACUUCUCUGUCUCCACAUAGGCUAUCCCGUUUCCAUCCUCCAAGCUUAUCUACUAUUCCUCCCAAGGCAGGAGACAUUCUUUUCUUGGACAAGUUGAUACUUCUCUUUUCCUGGAUCCUGGAUCCCACCCAGUUUUGUGUCCCAAGAGACUGUCCACCCAUGUACAUUCUUUUCCUAAAAUUAUUUUUUUCACUUUUUCUAUAAUUGAGCAUCUACAAUGUACCAUGCACAGAUACUGGAGAUAGGAACACAAGCAAGACACAGCCCUAAAACCUCCCAUAUCUCUCAUGGUCUGUUGGGAGAACUAAUCAUACCCUCAAGCUACAUUAUUAAGUAGAAUACAUGCUACAAUUGAUACAAAGUACCAUUUCCGUGGGAAGGGCAAGAACGGUUCAUGGACAAAAUAGCAUAUGAAUAAGACCUUCAAGAAUCAAUAGAAUUUUAACAGUGUCUUGUAUAUACUAACCACUCUGAAAAUGUUUAUUGUGUCUGCCUGGUAGAGAUGAAGAGGAGGGCAUUUGAGGCUGAGGGAAUAGCUUGAGCAAAGGCAAACAGAAGGAAAGAACAUGAAUCUCCUCUGGCUGGAUUCAGGGUGUUUGGGGCAAUAAUAGUAGUCGAAGAAAGGUUAGAACGAGAUCAUAGGAAUUUUUUUUUCUUUCUUUCUUUCUUUUUUUUGAGAUGGAGUCUCGCUCUGUUGCUCAGGCUGGAAUGCAAUGGUGCAAUCUUGGUUCACUGCAACCUCCGCCUCCUGGGUUCAAGCAAUUCUCCUGCCUCAGCCUCCCGAGUAGCUAGGAUUACAGGCACCCACCACCACGCCCAGCUAAUUUUUGUAUUUUUAGUAGAGACAGGGUUUCACCAUGUUGGUCAGGCUGGUCUCGAACUCCCGACCUCAGAUGAUCCACCCGCUUUGGCCUCCAAAGUGCUGGGGUUACAGGCGUGAGCCACUGCGCCUGGCCAGGAAAUCUUAAAUGUCAGAUUGGGUUUUUCUUUAUAGAUUUUUAUUCUGCGGGUAGUUGGAAGCUAUCAGAAAAAUCUAUCAGAGGAUAGUAAUGUAAAAAAUUUCUCAAAUAAUUUUCAUGCCUAUGUCUUGUUUUCCUUUGGGUCUCAUGGCAUCCCUGGGAGGUGGAUAAGGCAGAUAAGGAAAUUGAAGUCCAGAAGAUCUCCCUUCUGCCUCUCAGUCUCUUAAGUCUUUAUACGUAUUUAGGCCUUCCUCUAAAUAGAAGAAAAUGCCACUCUCCAGCUUACUGCAUUUUUAACUUAUAUCCCAUUUUUUCUUUUUCUUGUAUGGCUAAACCACUUGGAUAAUUGAUAUAUACUGCUGAUAUUCUCUUGGCAUGACUUACCCUCCAGCCUCUCCUUCAUUUUACUAGAACGUUUUCUAGGCUCACCAGAGUCCACUUGACUUAGUCCAUUGGUCUCCUUCCAUAAAUCAUCCUACAUUAUAGAUUCAUUGAGCUGAUAACUGUGUGUCAAGCACAAUGCAAGGGCUGAUAUACAAAGAUGAGUAAGACACCACCUUACCAUAGAAGCUCUUUAAUAUACUGGGAGGUAAACAUCUAUACAGAUAAUUAGAAUCCUAUGUGGUGAGUGUGGGGUACAGUAAUUGGGAACUGUGGGAUGACAAGGAGGGAACACUUAGCCCAGUUUGGUGACUCAAGAGAGAUUCAAAGAGGAGAUGAUACCUAAACUGAAUCUUGGAAGAUAAGGCCAGUGGGGAAAACAUCCCAGGAAGAGGAAACAGCGUACACAAAAGCAAAGAUAUAUGAUGUGCAGGGGAAACUACAAGCAGUUUGAAGUUACUAGAACAUAAUGCACAAAAAGACAAAGGACAAGGCCAGAAAGGUAGCUUGUGGCCAAGUCAGUCUAAGGAGCUUGGACUUCAUUCUGUAGGAGGGAGGGAGCUGCAGUCCAAUGACCCUUGUGGUUCAGGGGGAGCUAUUUCAUUAGUACUUCAUUGGUGAGUAGUGCUCUGGGAAAUUGUAUGUGUGUGUGUGUGUGUGUGUGUGUGUGUGUGUGUGUGUGUGUCUGCCUGCUAUAUCUCUAUCAGGUUGGUGCAAAAAUAAUUGUGGUUUUGCAAUUACUUUUAAUGGCAAACCAUAAUUACUUUUGCACCAACCUAAUACCUACAUACCUACCUAUUUAUCUAUCACGUUGACAGGACUGUAUCUAGGUUUUGUGGAGCCCCAAGCAAAUGUUUUUGUGGGCCCAGUCUGUAUAUGCAAUUUGAUUAAAAACUGUGUUAUAGGCCGGGGGCGGCGGUUCACGCCUGUAAUCCCAGCACUUAGUGAGGCCAAGGUGGGCGGAUCACGAGGUCAAGAGAUCAAGACCUUCCUGGCCAACAUGGUGAAACCUCUUCUCUACUAAAAAUACAAAAACUAGCUGGGCAUGGUGGCACGUGCCUGUAGUCCCAGCUACUCGGGAGGCUGAGGCAGGAGAAUUGCUUGAACCCGGGAGGCGGAGGUUGCGGUGAGCUGAGAUCGCGCCGCUGCACUCUAGCCUGGGCGACAGAGCGAGAUUCCGUAUCAAAAAACAAACAAACAAACAAAACUGUGUUAUAAAAUUCAUGGACUCGUGAAGAAUAGUGAUUUAACAACAAAGAUUUAGAAUAAUUAGUAGAGAAAAGUACUUAGAUAUUUGUUUAUUGUCUAAUAAGUGCAUGUGAAUAUUCUUUACAGUGUUCAGGCACCAUCGCUUUCUGUCUGGGUCCAGGAACUAUCUCUUUAUGUUAUUGUCAAAUGUGCUAUUUCUCACUAGUUUCUGGCUACAUGAGAAAAGGGGAACAACAUUGUUAUUCAAAUACCAUGACUCUUCAGAACCUGUUUGUAUUGGCCUAUGUAGCUUUCUUUGCCCCUCCAGUUCCUAAUGCUAUUUAUUUAAAGCUGGUACUGCAGAGAGUCCCCACUAGGGCAACGCCAAGCGGAAAUGUGGGAUUGGAGCCACCACAUAGUCUGCAGUAGGGCAGUGCCUAGUGAAGCAGCGGGAAUGGAGCCAUCUCCAAGACCACAAAACUGUAGUCCUACCAGUAUGCAACUCCAGCCUGGGAACUGUAGGCAGGAGACUCAAUCCAUCAGAGCUGCUGCAUGGACCGAGCCUAGAAAGGCUGUAGAGGUGGGACUGCCCAAAGCUUUGGGGAACCAGCCUCCCAGCAUGUCCAGGAGUGGGACAUGAAUCAGAGAUUAUUCUCUAGCUUUAAGACUUAAUGUUGUUUUCCCUGUUGGGUUUUGGACUUACUUGGGACCAGUUACCCUUCUUUUCUUGCCUAGUUCUCACUUUUGGAAUGGGAAUGUCUAUCCUAUGCCUGUACCACCAUUGUAGUUUGGAAAAAGAUAACUUGUUUUGAUUUCACAGGCUCACAGCUGGAGGAAUUUGCCUUGGGAUGAAUCAUGCCUUGAGUCUCACCUAUAUCUGAUUUAGAUGAGACUUUGGACUUCAGGCUUUUGAGUUGAUGCUGGAUUGAAUGACGGUGCCAUGCUCUUGGACUUACCAACCUCCAGAACUGUGAGCUGAAUAAACGUCUUUUCUUUAAACAUUA
rnacentral:lncRNA from 1 species